AAAAUUUAAGGUCUAACCUGCCCAUUGAUUAUUUUAACGGCCGCAGUAUUUUGACUGUGCAAAGGUAGCAUAAUCAUUAGUUUUUUAAUUGAAAGCUUGUAUGAAUGGUUGGACGAGAUAUAAUCUGUCUUUAAAUUAUAAUUAGAAUUUAAUUUUUAAGUUAAAAAGCUUAAAUAAAAUUAAAAGACGAGAAGACCCUAUAGAUCUUUAUAAAUAUUAUAAUUUAAUUUUUAAGGAUUAAUAAUUUUUAUAUUAUUUUAUUUAUUUAAUUGGGGUAAUAAAAAGAUUUAAAUAAUUCUUUUUGUUUUAAACAUUGAUAAAUGAUUUAAAUGAUCCGUUAUUAUUGAUUAUAAGAUUAAGUUACCUUAGGGAUAACAGCGUAAUUUUUUUUGAGAGUUCUUAUCAAUAAAAAAGUUUGCGACCUCGAUGUUGGAUUAAAAUUAAUUUUGGGUGCAGAAGUUCAAAGUUUUAGUCUGUUCGACUAUUAAAAUUUU
rnacentral:rRNA from 1 species